rnacentral:rRNA from 1 species
UACGAAGGGGGCUAGCGUUGCUCGGAAUGACUGGGCGUAAAGGGCGCGUAGGCGGCCUGGGUGCGUCCCGCGUGAAAUCUCCCGGCUCAACUGGGAGGGUCGCGGGAAACGACCCGGCUCGAGCUCGGUAGGGGCCUGGAAGUUCCGGUGUAGUGGUGGAAUGCGUAGAGAUCGGGAGGAACACCAGUGGCGAAGGCGGUGGCCUGGACCGAUGCUGACGCUGAGGCGCGAAAGCGU